UCAGGCCUAACACAUGCAAGUCGAGGGGCAGCACAUGAGUAGCAAUACGAUGGUGGCGACCGGCGCACGGGUGAGUAACACGUAUGCAACCUGCCUGUAAGCGGGGAAUAACCCGGAGAAAUUCGGACUAAUACCGCAUAAUACUCUAGAACCGCAUGGUUUUAGAUUUAAACAUUUAUGGCUUACAGAUGGGCAUGCGUAUGAUUAGCUAGUUGGUGAGGUAACGGCUCACCAAGGCAACGAUCAUUAGGGGUUCUGAGAGGAAGGUCCCCCACACUGGUACUGAGACACGGACCAGACUCCUACGGGAGGCAGCAGUGAGGAAUAUUGGUCAAUGGACGAGAGUCUGAAAGAGCCAAGUCGCGUGAAGGAAGAAUGUCCUAUGUAUAAAGGCUUCUUUUGUAAGGGAAAAAAGAUAGUACGGUACUAUAU
rnacentral:rRNA from 1 species